rnacentral:lncRNA from 1 species
UGGUACUAGAGCUACGGUUUAGUCGGUUCUCGGACUAACGUAGCAUGUGUACGAGUCUAGCUAUACAUGUCAUACAUAUAUUAUGAUAGUGUGACGAUUCCUAAUGAUUUAAAAAAUGUGUUUCAUAUAGUAAAUGGAUCCCGAUAGAGUAGUGGUGGAUAAUGUUGAAAGUAACACACCUGCUCUCGCUGAAGGAGCAGUGCCGUUUGAUAGUAGAC